UACAGAGGUGCCAAGCGUUGUUCGGAUUUAUUGGGCGUAAAGGGUGCGUAGGUGGUGAUGCAAGUCGGGUGUGAAAUACCGGAGCCUAACUCCGGAACUGCAUUCGAAACUGCAUCGCUCGAGGUCUGGAGAGGUGACUGGAAUUCUCGGUGUAGCAGUGAAAUGCGUAGAUAUCGAGAGGAACACCAGAGGCGAAGGCGAGUCACUGGACAGAACCUGACACUGAGGCACGAAAGCUAGGGGAGCAAACGGG
rnacentral:rRNA from 1 species